ACAGUAUAUGCUUACUGGAUAACUUGAACACUGUCCACUGCCCUGGAAAACUUGAAUGCUGUUCUUGUUUGCCUUCUUUUAUGCAGAACUCUUGUUGAACUUUAUAUUGCAAAACUGUGCUGCCUCCCUUUUAUUACAGCUUUGAACAAGAACUAUGUACAGUCUUAGGGCUGUUUUCCUUUAGAAAUCUGUGCUCUCCUCUCUACCCUCUUCAGCUGGUGCUGAAUAUAUUUCAGCAGUAAAGAGGGAUAGCAUACGUGGGGAUGGUUUGAAUUCAUGGCAGCAGAUUUUUCUUCUUUGCAUGUAGCAAACUUCUACCCAGAAGUCCUCUGAAGAGGUAAAAAAAGGACGAUCAUCAAGCCUCGGCUUACUUGAAGUCAGAACAUGUCUUGGUGACAGGAAUUUGAGAGCCUCUAAUUGUUUUAUGUUAUCUGGAAGUCUCUUCCUAAUCUCUUUAGGUAACUCCAGCAUGUAGUUCCUGCACCUACGUUUCAUGUCCUGUUCUGCUUGUUUGCUUAUUCCCUUUGAUUCAAGCAAAGCAAGGCGGUACUGGUCCACUGCAUUGAGGGGCAAAAGGUUCUCAUCAGAAAGGUUAAACUCCAUAAUGUCUUGCCAGUUCUGAAAUGUCUUUGGCAAUGCUAUACAUUCAAGAAGGGACUGGUAAAAUGUCAAAAGUUCUGGAGCUUUGCAGGAUUGGGUUUGUCAAGUUGAAAGAUUUUGUUAAGUCUGUUUAGCUCAGACACAAUCGGUUGGAGGACUUCUAGGUAGAUCAGGUUUAUUUUGUCACUGUACAUUUGGUACAGCAAUUCUGCAGCAUAGCUUCUCUCAUUUUCUUUUGUCAACUGGAAAUGCAACUUAAGCUCGUCUGUGAAAGGAUGCGGUGACACUCACUGAUAGAGAGCCACCUGGUGUCAGAUAGUUGCAGAAGGGUUUUCACCUACGUUUAUGGUUUUGUACAGUUCUGAAUAUUUUUGCUGACGCUGGGUAGCAAUUGAAAACCAGCUGUAGGUCAGAGAAACCAUGUACUCUACAUUUCUGGGCAGGUUGUGUGAGGAUUACGUCACGAAAUUUUAGUUAUGUUGCCCACACAUAGUGUUACAUCCAUCUGUUGCAAGACCUAUGCAGUUAAGUAUGGACAGUUUGUUGUCAUCCAGGACAUUUGCUAUGGUGAGUGAAUCACCUGCUACUAUAUGUAUCAUUCCUGCAAAGGUGCUAAUGAUUUGUGAGAACUUUUUGCUGUAAUAUCUGAUGACUAUGCAUAGUUGUUUUUUGCUUGUGACAUCAGUGCUCUCAUCAACGAUAAGAGAGUACGGUCCACUUCCUAUAUCCUCCAGUAGGUCUUCAUGCAUUACUGGUCCUAUUACUGAAUGAAUUAGCGCUGUGCACUUAGUUCGAUGUAAACUGAUCCCUUUCUUGGAAAUUCCUUCCACAAAGCUUCCUAAAUAAUCAACAGUUAAGGUGCUUGAGUGGCACGCAACAUGAACAGCCAUCUGAAACUCUGCCUCUUUCACUGCAACAUUUGUUCUUUGAAGGGAACAGCCUGUGUCAAAUAAUGUCCUUGAAUUUGAGAAGGGAGCUGCAUUUUUUCUAUGCUCCUCGGUAGCUCCGUGUGCUAUUAGAUCACUGUGGUGAGAUCUAAUUUCACUCUUGCAAUAUUUGCAGAAAGCUUUUUUGUCAUCAUUCGGAACACUUCGAUUCCAUUCCAUUAAACACUUUUCCGUCUCGUAUUUUUUACCAUAUUUUCCCUAUUUACCUGACAUUGUGCACACUUGUUGGUUUUUCAUCCAGGCUGCGCACUAACCAACCGCCGCCUCAAAAAUCCCGGUAAAGGAAAUGCACAUAAUGAUGACGCAAGUCGCAAGGACGUGCCCGUCCCCUCACGUUUGCUGCGUUGGAAAAAUAUCCAAGUGCAGCAUGAAAGCAACCUUUAACUCUUCUUUGUCAACCAUACAGAGAUGGAUGAAGAUGCUGAGCUGGAGAGUGCAGUGCUGAACAUCACCCCCUCUAAGCUACGGGUGCAAUCAUCAUCAUCAUCGGUGUCCUCAGCUGCUGAAGUGAAACACUCCAUGGAAACGGCAACAGGUUUUUAAACAGGUUCAUGAAUUAUGAUAUGAAAUAUUCUCCAAAACUGAAUAUGAAUUGGUGAAAAGUGAAAGUGACCUAUUAGUCAGAUAUGGUGACCCAUACCCGAAAUGUGACCUCUGCAUUUAACCCAUCCAGAGAGUAGUGAACACACGCACAGCAAGUGGUGACCACACGUACACCCGGAGCAGUGGGCAGCUAUCACUGCAGCGCCCAGGGAGCAAGUAGGUGUAAGGUGCCUUGCUCAAGGGCACCUCAGUCGCUACCCUCCGGCUCUGGGAAUCGAACCCGCAACCUUCUGGUCAUGAGUCCGACUCUCUAACCAUUAGGCCACGACUGCCCCCAUUAUUUUGUUUUAAUGUGUCAGUGUGUUGGCCAUGUGUCACUAACAAAUCUGUGUGCUGUUGGCAUUAUACUAACUGUUCAAGGGGCUAUGAAUUGAUUCCUCCAACACGAUGAACUGAUAAAUCCCCAUUCUGGGUAAGUGCUCACUUUUACUGUAAACUUAUAAAUAUUUCUGUUUAAUAAUACACCAAGACGUGCAUGUUGCAAGACUGUUUAGUUUGUAAUGUCUGUGACAUUCUUUGAGAAGGCAUAAUGCAUCCUUUUCAUUCAUUCUGUUAAAGUAAGCAGAUCUCUUAAGAGUAUUUAUAUUAUUAACAAGAUUUGAUGUCUUGCAGAACCAUCUACUGUCCUUUCAAAACCACUUGACUGGCACUAAAAGGAACUGCGUCUGUCUCUUGUGGAUGCACCAGCUGUGCCAGCUGAAAACGCCUGUGCCCCUUCCUAAAGAGCUGAUGUUUCUUGUGCAGGAACCAUCAGCUUCCACACAAACAAAGAAAAGUGUCUCAGCGACAGCGACUGGAAAAGCUCCCCAAAAGGUUUACAAAUGUGCUGCAGCAAUUCUUACUUACAAGAAGGUCAUCUGUAAAUCUGUAAUGGAUGAGCUUCGGCGCCAGAUCUGCACUCAGCAGAACAUCUCAACUGGGAUGCCUGGAGAACUACUGAGGCUAUUAUUGCUGAGGCCACUUCUGGUGAGCUGCAAAACGCAUGUGCAUCAAAGUCUCGCUUCAAUCAGCACAUCACCAUCAAGCUUGAUUUGUUUCACUGCAUGAGGCGCUUUCACCGGGUGUGUGUUUCAGAGCUUCAUGCCUUAUACAGCUCCUUCACCCAGUUCCUGUCUGCUGCUUUCUGUGUGCUGGAUAAAGAAGACCUGCGGAAGCUCAAGAAUGCCUAUGUGUUUUGUGGUAUUCAGCCAGCCAACCCCACCAAGCAGCACAUUCGGGAGCACUGCAGAACAAAGAUUCCUGCGCCUCAAGAACUUCUCAAAAGGGUCGAGGGGCUUAUGCAGCCCUUUCAUUUGGCAGCUGAUCCAAAUGGUGUACCCCUCUUCAAACCCUCUAUGCUGAAGACAUGGCGCAUUCAGCGUGUCCAUAUUUUGAGGGGAUGUCUGAGUGAUCCUGAAGUAGCAGGUGAGAUCCUGUAUAGGCAUGGUGGGAGCUAAAGUUGAUGUCUGGAUGCCAAUAAGUGGCACAUCACAGCAGGAGGGCUACCACUUCCACCAGGCUCACUGGGUCACCGGCACACGCGUUUCCUCAGAGCUGUUUCAAGCCCAGGGGAUGAUCGGAGUGGCACGCUGGAACUUUCAGGGCCUGGUGGACCAGAAACCACCAGGUGUUUGGCUUCCUGGCGUAUUUGAUCCAUCCCUGAUCGCAGAUCUCAAUACUGCGUGAGUAAGGGUGUUAGGAAUGCCUAAGUAUCCUGCCCUUCUAUAGUGUCCAGGAAGGAUUCUGUGGAGAUGUUUGGGCUAGAGUAUGUGGAACCUGGAUGUUGCCCUGUUGUGCUGGAUUGGGAAUAGCACAAGAGCAAAACUGCUCUGCCUUUAGAUCCUCCUGAGCAAAGCAGACCAUCCACUGCCAGGGCUGGAUACCUUUCAGCUGAUCUUGAUCCGCAGCCAGAGUCAGGAUCCGUUACCACUUUGCCCGCGCCCUUGCUGUCCUCAUGCCAUGGUGCUGAUGUGGAGCUUCAGCCUGAGCCAGGUAAACAUUUCACAGAUGAACAGUGUCACGCUUAAAAUGCCCUUUUUCUUUAUACAUAAAACUAAAUACUUGCUACAAGAAGAAGGAUAUGCUUAAACUUGUGGAUCAGGAGUAUGCAGCAGUGGUCCAUAACUCCAGUACUGAUCCCAACAGCAUGCUCCAUCCGACUACAAAACUUCUUAUAGAUCGGUAUGUUAAGCACUUGGCCAAACUGCAAAACACCUGUUCUUCACUAAAUGCUUCUCAUGAAAAACUUCUUCAGACACAGCGACUCUGGCACUCUCUGACAGAGGGAAGCGAGACUACUAGUGUGCCAGUGGUUACAAUUAAUCCUGCAGUUGUAAACCCACCAGCACCUGCUCUGACCACACCCCUUACUCACGAAACCAUUGAGAGGGUCGUUGAGGGUAUUAUGGAGAAGCAUCAACAGCCAGAACAGAAAAAGAAACAGACGAAUACUUGUGACUUGUAAUGAGUGAUGGCUCCUCCAUCCAUUUUUUUGUCAGCAAGGUCCUGUUAGGUACUUCUACUGUUCCACUAAGGUUUUCAAGGCUUGUAGUGGUGAAGGACUGACAAACCCCAGAAUGCCUUGUAAAGAAUUUAUGGAAACCAAGUUCUUCCAGAGAGAACUGGAUGCCCCAAAAUAACGAGUAGAGGAGAAGGGACAGCAAAAGAAAAAAGCCUGAAUCUCAGCAUGUAGAUUGCCUGUGUUGUUCUGUAAAAUGGAACUCAAACAGUCCACACAUACACACAGGCGUUCCUGGAAUGGCCGGGAAAUAUGUUUAUUGUCCUGCUAAGGUCUUUUCCACUUACAGAGAGCAGGGUAUGGAGAAGGAGAUUAUCUGGAAAGAGUUUCAGAAGUCUCCAUUUUACAACAUGGAAAGACAGAGAUGGGUUUCAGAAAAAAAAGAGUAGUGAACACACGUACCCCCGGAGCAGUGGGCAGCUAUCACUGCAGCGCCCGGGGAGCAAGUAGGGGUAAGGUGCCUUGCUCAAGGGCACCUCAGUUGUUACCCGCCGGCCCUGGGAAUCGAACCAGCAACCUUCUGGUCAUGAGUCCGACUCUCUAACCAUUAGGCCACGACUGCCCCUUUUAUCUGUUUCUUCUUACAUUGUUUAUGUGGGUUUGUUAAAUUGUGCAAACAAUAAUGUGUUUUUAUAUGUUUAAGGUGAUUAACAGAUGUCAUGUUGUGCAUUGAUGUUAUAAUGUAGUAAAGAAUGUAGUGCAUUGUACAAUUUGUCAAAACGUGUAAAAUUUGUCAUUUAAUAUAACAUUUACCAGGUCGUGGUAUGACGAAGGCUGUUUGAUUGUACUAGACGGAAUAGUUUUCUAUAUCUCAUGCUUGUACUUUUCCGUUAAUUUUCUUAAGUAGCAUAUGUGUGUGUGAUUUAAAGUUCUAAAAAUCUCAAAUGCAAUUUUUUGAUAACAUGUUUUAGUGAUUUCUCAGAGAGUUAAAGGAGUAAUCAUCAUAAAGCCUACAAUACGACCCAGAAUUCGCCCCACAUAAAUUUAUGGUCACUGGCCGCAACUGGUUAUGUGGCUCUUUUAGAUCAAUGUGAGGAAUGCAAGAAAUUCACUCAAUGUUUACAUUGAUUCUUUUGUUGGGAGAACAUUUUAAAAUCAGAUUUCUUACAGUGUACUAAAAAGUGGAUUAUGACUUUAAGAAUAAUUUCACAAAUGCCUCAUGAUGUUCAAUAAAAUGUAAACACAUUUUAAAUGUAGUCUGUGAUCCAAAAACUUCAGAAUUGUAUCCAAUCAUAAUUCAAUUUGCCAUUUUUGUACCAUGUCUUGAGCCCUCUUCAUUUGUUUAUCAUGUUGGCCAAAAGGUUUUUAAAGAAUGAAGAGACAAAGUUGCCUUUGGAGACAACAAAAUCUCAUUGGCCAUACAGUAUGUAUUUAAACGAUUGACUUUGUCUAAACUCUGUGUCAUUAAACUUCCUCUAGCAUCAAGAUGAUCAGUGAAAUGCAGAGAUGCAGGACUAUAGUGUAAUGUACAGCAGGAUGACAAAUGUCUUCAGUACACAAAUUAUUGAAUAAUACAUACAACAUUUUUUUAACAACAUAAAUACAGCCAGAGGAAAUAAGAAAAACACAUAAAAAAGAAAGAAAAAAGAAAAACACGGUGCAAUUCAAAUAUCCAUUUCAAACUUGUAUACAAUAUUUGAAGUCCUGCAAGCCUUUCCACCCAUGCAACAUACCACAGUAUUGUUUAAAUUCGUUGAUGAAUUGAAAGAAAUUAGGCUUACCACCUGACCAUUUCAUUUUAUGCAUAUGAAACUUUCCCGUUAAAACUAUUAGUUGAAUGAUAUAUGCUUUAUCCUUUUCUAUCCCUCAAUCAUUAACAUAUAACAUUAUAUCCGACCCACUGAGUUUAACAGCAACAUCAAAUUCUCUACAUCAACCCAAAAUAUAUAAAUGCAAUGAAAUAAUAAAUGAAAUAUUGUUUCCUUUUCCUUAUUACAGAAUUCAGAUGAAUAGUCAAUAUUUAAUUUAAAACGUUCCAAAACAUGUUUUACUGGAUAGAUUAUGUGCAAUAUUUUAUAAGAAAUUUCCUUUACUUUGUUAUUAACAAAGAAUUUAUUAACUAUUCUCCAAGCUAUAUGUAACACUUCCGUUGGUCCCUAGUCCUGUUUUCCCCGUUUUUGCCCAAGGACGUUACGUUUGCCACGCUCCCUCACCCAUCCCUCAUUGACAUUUGCACCUGUUCAUCAUCAUUGACUGUCACCUGCACCCCAUCAUCCUCCUUAUCCGGACACCAUAUGUACUCUCCUUUGCCUGUUGUGUUUUGUCAGGUCUUGUUGUAAGUUUGUCAAGUUGUAGUUAGGCUUUACCUUGUGCUGUGGGUGUUUUCUCAUGUUUGUAUCUUUCUGUGGAUUACCUACCUUUUGGAUAUUCUUGGGUUUUUUUGCACUUUUUUUACCUUGUGGAUUAUUAUUUUUGUGGAUUACCCUUUUGUUCCUGGUUCCUGCUUGUUUUAUUAAACCAUUUUUCCUUCACUCACCACCUGUGGCAUCGUCCUUCAUUCGUGAACUGUUAAACUUUACGCCAAUUCAAAUCUCCAAAUAUCGAUGACCAAGAAAAUCUUGCUGAGGGCUAUGUAACAGUAUUUAUUUAUAUUUGAAGAUAUUAGUAUUUCCAAUAAAAUGUUUAUUGUUUGU